rnacentral:rRNA from 1 species
GCGGCGGACGGGUGAGUAAUGCCUGGGAAAUUGCCCAGUCGAGGGGGAUAACAGUUGGAAAGGACUGCUAAUACCGCAUACGCCCUACGGGGGAAAGCAGGGGACCUUAGGGCCUUGCGCGAUUGGAUAUGCCCAGAUGGGAUUAGGUAGUUGGUGAGGUAAUGGCUCACCAAGGCGACGAUCCCUAGCUGGUCUGAGAGGAUGAUCAGCCACACUGGAAGUGAGACACGGUCCAGACUCCUACGGGAGGCAGCAGUGGGGAAUAUUGCACAAUGGGGGAAAGCCUGAU